rnacentral:misc_RNA from 1 species
GAUGAAGAACGUAGUGAAAUGCGAUAAGUAAUGCGAAUUGCAGAAUUCCAGUGAGUCAUCGAAUCUUUGAACGCACAUUGCGCCCGCCAGCAUUCUGGCGGGCAUGCCUGUUCGAGCGUCAUUUCAACCCUCGAGCCCCCCCGGGGGCCUCGGUGUUGGGGGACGGCACACCAGCCGCCCCCGAAAUGCAGUGGCGACCCCGCCGCAGCCUCCCCUGCGUAGUAGCACACACCUCGCACCGGAGCGCGGAGGCGGUCACGCCGUAAAACGCCCAACUUUCUUAGAGUUGACCUCGGAUCAGGUAGGAAUACCCGCUGAACUUAAGCAUAUCAAUAAGCGGAGGA